UGGGGAAUAUUGCACAAUGGGCGAAAGCCUGAUGCAGCAACGCCGCGUGAGCGCUGAAGGCCUUCGGGUCGUAAAGCCCUGUCCUCAAGGAAGAUAAUGACGGUACUUGAGGAGGAAGCCCCGGCUAACUACGUGCCAGCAGCCGCGGUAAUACGUAGGGGGCUAGCGUUAUCCGGAAUUACUGGGCGUAAAGGGUGCGUAGGUGGUUUCUUAAGUCAGAGGUGAAAGGCUACGGCUCAACCGUAGUAAGCCUUUGAAACUGGGAAACUUGAGUGCAGGAGAGGAGAGUGGAAUUCCUAGUGUAGCGGUGAAAUGCGUAGGUAUUAGGAGGAACACCAGUUGCGAAGGCUGCUCUCUGGACUGUAACUGACACGGAGGCACGAAAGCGUGGGGAGCAAACA
rnacentral:rRNA from 1 species